CUUUAUUUUUUACUCUCUCCUUCGUGUUUCCCAUUGUCUUUUCCCAUUCCUCUUUUUUCCCCCUCUUCUCCUCAAUUUCCCAGGUGAAUCGUUCUUGCAAAACCGUUGUGGGAGCUUGAGUUUGCGGUCUUCGAUGUCGGCAACCGUUGGGUGAGGGUGGUGAUAGAUAUUGGUAGGACGCUCUCAUAUAACAGCAAGGAGUGCUUCUGGAGCAGAACCUACAGGACUUAUUCCUAAACAUAGUGGGCUAAUUCUCAUUUUGUAGUCUCAUUAGUGGACCCCGGCAAAGCACACAAAUGUUUUCACGAACAACAUCUUUGGUUCAAAGGAGUCCCAUGUAAAUAGAGUCUUAUUGGGUGAAUGAAGAUGUAAAUAGAGUCUUUAGUUGAGCAGGGCGUGAAAACACCGUUGAACGCACGAAUAUGGUUGUGUUUGAUGAUGAUGUAACUGCACUUUGGGAUAGCUUCUUGGCAAAUUACACAAAUGCUACUAGAGUGUACUGGAACCCUUAUUUUUAUGAGAUCAUGUAUCUGAAGAGAGAAUUGUUGAGGCCCGCUUAGAGAAGAUGAAUAUGAUUUGGAGCUGUAUUAGGGUAGUUAGGGCCAUAGCUUCUGUAUCUACUGGUUUUGGGCUAUAAGUUGAUGACAAAUGUUUUGUUAGGUCCUUACUGGUGGUAAUCAUUCAUAUGUAAUGGGGUACUUCAUACUUAAGUUUGUAUGGGUUGUUGGAUGUUUUAACUUAUAUGGUGUAUUAAUUAUUGAUAUAUUAGUUAUGACUUUCCGCGAUGCUUACGCGCUGUAUAUGAUAUGCAUGAGCUUGUAUUAGUUAUAAUUAUUAGGCGGAUUAUAUGUUUGCUAA